rnacentral:lncRNA from 1 species
UGAUAAUACUGGCUCCUGAGCAGAGUGGGAGCCCUGUACUGGGAAGACAGUGUGGAGGAGAGAUGCCCUGUCUGUCAGACCCUCACUGGACGGCCAAGAGACCCAGAGCAGGUGUGUGUGACCUCAGCCCUGAGCCACAGCCCCGACUUCCGGGACAUUCAGAAAAGAUGGUUGUAGGAUAAACUGAGCUGGUGGUGACUGGCACAUAAUAGUUGCUCAAUAAAUGCUGGUUUGCUUUUCCGCACGCUGUCAUGAUGAUGGCAGGGUUUGGUAAAUAUCCAAUGGUUGAAGGAAAGAAGGAGGAUACACAGACGAGAUUCGGGGUGAAUGAACAGGGUACCUAAUUUAAAGGACUCAGCUCAGGAUCUGGAACAUACUGUGUCCUCAGUAAACACUGCGUGGUGUGAUUAUUACCUGUCUAAGGUUCAGUGUGAGUGUAGAGUUGGAGGGGGAGAGGAGACGGGGGAUGUGAGGCUGGAGGAGAGCAAGGAGGCCAGCUGGGGAAAGAUGGGCUGGGCCCCAUAUUUGGACCCCUCCCCACCCCCAGGCCACCUCUCUCUGCAUCUCCAGCUGUAACUGAUGUUAAUGGCGUUCUAGUUUCUAAUCAUUUUUUGCAAUUUGCAAAGUUGUUUCUUUGGUUUCUGUGGACAAAGCUACGCUGUCAGCUCUGCUGGGUUUCUCCCCAUCUUUUCCUCAAAGAUCUUCAUGAAAAUGGUGUUGCAAAAACUGUUGUCUCCUAGUUAAGCAAAAAGAAGAAUAAGAAAAAACCCAGCAUCUUGAAGAGGAGGGGGAAACAGAGAAGAAAGGAAGCCCAGGGGCCCUAGGUCCACAAGACCUCUCACCCUGUGGGGGGAGGUCAGGUGGGCAUCCCAUAGGAAGGACACUUCUACGUGGAGACCUGAUGGACAAAUACGAGUCAGCCAGGGGGCCAGGGGAGAUGCUCCAGGCAGAGGAAACGCAUGCAAAGGCUCAGAGGUCCAAGUGGCCGAAGAAAGGCCUGUGUGACUGGACCAUCUUGAAUGGGGGACGCGGCAGGUGCUGAGGCUGCAGAGGUGGGCGGAGCGGACUGCCCUGGGCUUCAAGGCCAGGUAGGGGCUUUGGGACAAGAACCAUAGGAAGCCAACACAGAGCAUUGAGUUGUGCUUUUAAAGCCCCCUCUGGUGGCCGUGUGGAGAAUGGGCGGUGGAAGGGGAGAGAGUGGAAGCAGCACCAGGGGCACAGGUGAGCAGGAGGGGAGGGACAGAGCCAGGCAGACUUGGGGAGGGGGCUCCAUCAGAGGGAAGGGCAAGGGGGAGGCCUUGAGGCAGGAGCGUGUCCAGGGCUCCAGGUCCAGGAAGGAGCCCAAGGGCUGGAGGCGAGUGAGGGUGGGGGGAGACUGCAGAGCCCCUGGGGUCACUGUCAGUGUAGACUGUGCCGAGUGAGGCAGGGGCCACAGGGAGUGGACAGAGCAGGGACGGCCCCACCCUGAGUCUCACAGGGUCAUCUGGCUGCUGCAGGGAGAGUGACAGGAGCAGGGCCAGGGCAGAGGCAGGGGCCAGGCAGGCGGCCACUGCACCAGUCCAGGUGUGAUGGUGGUGGGACCAGGGUGGGAGCCUGGAGAGAGAGAAGCUCCCGGAUCUGGGGUCACAUGAAGGGCAGCAAAGAGGACAUGAGGAUUAUUCACUCCGCAAAUAUGCAGCAUUAUUACCAUUUAAAACUUUAUACUAUUUUACUGAGCAUCUCCUUAUAGGAGAAAGAUUCAAGAAUGAAAUCCACAGCAGUGUUACUUAUGAGAGUUAAAUAAUUGAAAUCAUCCAAAUUUUUUAAAAGAGAGUUUAGUUAAAUAAAUUAUGGAACAUUAAUUAAAUGAACUAUUUCCAAAAAUAUGUAAUGACAUGGAAAACUGGUCCAGCCAGAAUUUUGGAUAAGAAAGACCCCAGUCUGUUUGCGCAUCAUGUAGAGGACACGGCUGCCGGCUGCCCACAUCCAGUUCCCUUCUGGGCCCCCUGACAGGAGAACAGCACCUCCCCAUCACCUGGGGUCAGGGGCGCCCGUGAGGCUCGCUUUGGUCAAGGAAACAUGAAUGGAGGUGGGGAGUGCCCUUUCCAGGAGCAUUUAAGAUCCAGUGCGCAUGCUCGUGUCCUUUCUGCUGAGGGUGGGCAGAGUCCCUAGGUGUCUGUGGUGAGCAAGGCAGCUCCUGCUGACCACAGAGGGCACGUAACGUGAGCGAGAAACGACCUUUUCUGCUUCAGGAGAGGGAGGAGGUCAUGAUGUCAUGUCCUGGCUUACCCUGACAGCCUGUACUGUAAGCCCUGUAAUUUGGUGUGUUGCCUUGACGUCUUUGACUUUCAUGGGACCUCAAAGGCCUACCUAGAGUUCCUCUGCUCCGGCCGGAUCUGUCCCCACCCAGCAGGAAAGUCUCGCACCCAGCUAGUUCCCCGCUCAGCCAGAACAGCUGCGCUCCACCGGGUCCUCGCCUAAUGGGCUUCAGCUGCAUGAAGUGUGGAAUUGGGCAAACAAACCAAUUACCUCCUCCCGCAGGAACCAGGGGACCUCAACCCCUGGUUCCUACAAAGCCUGCCGCUCACGGCCCUGCUGGUUCUCACUGCUCCCGAGUGCCAGCCUCGUGUGGCCUGCGUGGCGGCAGCAUCCUCCUCUCCCAGGCUGUGAGUGUGCGUGACUGAUGCCCGGCUGCCAGCCCUGUCCUUCCAGUGACAGGUGGUGUGCGUUUAGCUGUUUCAUUCUAUUUAGGAUGGGGAAGCCCUCCUCACCAACGAGGUAAAUGGGAAGGGAUCAGCACAGUCACACCAAUGGGAAAUCAAUUAUGAAAACAUACAUUUGUGUAUAAGUAGAAAAGGAAUGAAGAUAGGCGUCAGCUGCUGUCUUUGGCGGCGAGAUGCUUUAUAUCCAUUUUGCACGUUCCAAGCGUUUUACAGUAAGUAUACAUUACUUAUAUUAAAAGAAAACUCAGUGUUCUUAAGCACCCAGGCCCGGCGAGGCCACCCCGCCCCAGGCCGCAGCUCCUCCCUCGGCUCCUGCUCCCGGGCGCUCGGCGUCUGUCCCGCCCCAUUAGCCCUUUAUUGUGGAUCAUUUUGUUCUCCAAUUUUGCGCCCUUACAAUUUAGCGCGUCAUACACUGUCUUGCUCUCUAACAUUUAAUUUAGUGUCCCUUGGACUCGGUUUCUUCGUCUCUAAGUGCAGUGGAGGCAGAAAGGGAGAACUUCAGAGGCCACUCAGCACCAGCACUCCCUCAGGGCCUGGAGUAAUGAAAGCCAGCACCGUGGGCCAGGCGCCUUGCUGAGUACUUCCUAUGCAUUGUUCACUGGGUUACUUCAACAAUCCCACAAGGAGGAAGUGGUCACACGCCUCUUGCCGUCCCCCCAUUUUAUAGAUGAAGCUCAGAGAGGUUUAGAAACUUGUCCAAAGUCGUCAUGUUACAGAUGAGGAUCUGAGGAACAGAGAGCCCUGUGUUUGCCCAGAGUGCCACCCCCAAGUGCUGCCAGCAAGUGUCAUGUGAGCCCCGGAAUCUGCAUCCCACUGUUUUAUUUUGUCAAUCCUUACAACAGCCAGAUGGAUUCCGUAUUAUGGUGCCCAUUUACAGAGGGGAAAGCUGAUGAGGCUCAGAGAGGUUAAGUAACUUGGCUACUAUCUCACAGUGAGGAAGUGGCAGAGUCCAGGCUGGGAACCAGGGUCAUCCAAAGCCUGUGGUCUAAACACUUAACAACACUGCCUCCCUCCACCAAGCCUGGGGCUCAGGACCAUUAACAGGGACUGAGCCUCCUCUGUCAGGGUGUGGAAUCAGAAUAUAACAACAGCCUCCGGGAGAGGCCCCCAGGGAUCUGCAUUCAGAUGCUGCCCUGAGAGCAGGAGGUCUGAGCAGGGAAGGGAGGGGGGAGCCUGGAACCCAAACAGCAAAGGAGCCCCGGGCCUGGGUGGGCUCCCUGCAGGGGCCUGGGUGACGCGGGCAGCACUGCCAGAGAGAGGCAGCAUCACUUUGUGACUGUGGCCAACACUGUCCACUGGCUGGAGGCUGGUCAGGCACAGCCAGGGUGGCUGGCAGCCGCCUCGGCUCCCAAAAUUCACUAUCGGUCCUAGAUCCUGCGGAAGUUUAUGGUCCAGCAUAAUUCUUCUAAUUGCCAUCGUCAUGGCUAAUAACAUUAUGUGACAGCCAUAAACUCAGAGAGUUGAAGUGGGCCCCGGAGGACAGAACAACUGAAGAUGGUUUGGAUGGGAUUCAGAGGGAGGCAGGAGGGCUCAGGUUGGGGACCAUGGCUGUGCCUUCUGGGGAUGGGUGUCUUUUCACAGAUUCAUUGGAAGCUGCACUCACAGAAGAUCAGGAUGGGCGCAGGGGACGCUGGGUCAUGAGCCGUUCAUCGAUAGAGAUUAUCAGCGCAGAGCUUGAGAUAAUUGUCAGUUGUAAGGUAAGGCUUACAGAAGAAUGGGACACUCCUGGACCCUUAGAACGUCAACAUCACAGGACCCUCAGGGGUGGGCGUGGUAGACACACAGCUGGGUGACCCAACCCAGGCUCCAGAGCCGGCCCAGGCAGGGAGCUUCCAAAUGAUUCUAAUGGAGACCAUCUCAGGCCGACAUCUGAGGACUCUCCCCCGUGGGACCGGGCUGCGUCACUCUCUCCUUCGACCCCAGCCCCUCCAGGACAGGGGUCUCUGCCCAGAAUGGGAGUCAGGGCUUUUAUUGCUUUGGCUCCACUGGGGGCAGGGAGCUGCUCCUCACCCCUCCCUAACGCAGCUCCACUUUCCCGUCCUCACUCUUGCCCCUGCCCGCCAGGCCCCCCGGCCUCUCCUCUCUCACACUGGCUUGUCGCGGGUCCUCCAAGCACAGAGCCCCUCCUGCCUCCAGGCCCUCACGUGUGCUGUUCCCUCUGCCCCGACGGGAUGCCCCUCUUUCUCAUCCCCCCGCGUCCCCAUCUCAUCGUUCAGAUCUCCAUUCUGCUCCCACCUCCACACAAGCCACCUGCGACCCGGCCCGGUCAGGUCCCUGCCCCGUGUUCACAGCCCUGAACCUUUGCUUCAGGGUCACAGUCCCCUUUGCAGUUUGGCGUGAUUGUGGGAUCAUUUGGUAACGGGUCCCGCACUGCGAGCCUGCUGGCCCGGGAGCCCACACAGCCCGGCGCGGAGCACCCAGCCCUGCGGUGGGUCAGAGGACGGCGGCUGGAACCUGACGUCCUGGAGCCCCGUCCGCCUUCACUGACCCGGGGUCGCCUCCCUGAGCCUCGGUGUCCUCAGCUGGAAAUGGGACCCUGGACUCGCGAAAGCGAACCUUGUGUCAUUGCAUCUGAACCCCGAGCUCCGUGGGGGCCGCAGCCCCCGUUCUCUGGGAGGCUCACAGCAGGGAAGGCCCUGGGCUGCCCUGGGCUCCGAGAGGCUGGCGCUGGGUGGACACGGACGCAGGUGAUGGCACAUCACACCGCAGCUGUGGGUGCCCACCACCCAGAGCCUGGCCUGUGGUGGGCCCACGAGACAUGUUUAUUGAAUGGAUGAAUUGGAGUCAUGCGAGGGGUCCCUGGAGGUGGUCUUCAGUUUUGAGGAGGAUGGCUGGAAGCAGAAAUCAGAGCUGUGGUCGGGGGACAGAUGCCGUGGACACAGGGGAGGGUGAGUGGGUCAGCGGUGGGGGCCCUGGGUCGCCCUGGGGCAGGCCCUGCAGCCCGUGGAUAGCAGCUGAUCUACGGGCCAGGUAGGCAGGGCCCCCGACCUGUUCUCGCCCUGCUUGCUCUCACCUGAGCCACCCCUCCCCGCCCCCCGGCUCCUAGCCACAGGUCUGACACAGGACCAUGGCUGGGCCACCUCCCAUGCUGACCCUCAGAGACCCUGUCCUGCUGGAGAAAGGCCCCCUCACCCUAACCUGCUCACUCGCUGUGACCCUCAGGGUCUGGGGGCCCAGCCCCCAUCAGUGACUCUCUCGGCUGCCCCGGCCAUGCCCCAUCAUGUGCACCCCCCACAGUGGAACUCCAUCAGCAGUACGAGGCGACAGCAAGUGUGGGAGCGAUGGGAACACAGUCAGCUGUCCAGUUGGCUGUGCUCCAUGUGGGACCGAUGAAGCGGGUGCUUUAGCAGGCCAGCAACUGCAACAAGCAGAUUCCAUGUGGGCAGCUGGGGUGGGGUCAGUGCUGCCGUGUCCCUGAGCCCUGCGGAGCCCUUGGCUGGAGGCUGCAGUGGGCACCGCCCCCCAUCCCCCAACCCUGUAGCUCCUCCCUCUGGCCUACAGUGGCCUCUGACCACACCGACCCUGCCCCUUCAGCGCCCAGCCGUUCUGACAGCCUGACCCUCAGAUUCCUGAAGUCAGAGUCAUGGACCCUUGGCCUCCCCGAGCUCAGCUCAUGGAGCUACAGGAUCUCAGCGUCCAGCAUCCCACCGUCUGAGAUCCUCGAGUCACAGACCCAAAGCAGCUGAGACUCACAAAUUUCCACCAUCAGAGUGUCAGGGGUCCGCAAAUCACAGACAGGUGUAUCGAACCCCCAGUCCCUGAAGAAGAGCAGGCUCCAGGAAUUGUCCACCCUGGACUCGGGGCAUGUGUUGCACCCACGGGGGCUCAUGUGGGGCCUGCCUGGAGCUCAGGGCACAGCAGGGGGCAGCUUAGAGGGUGAGCAGUGGGCACUGAGCCUGCCCAGGACUGGCCUUGCGGGGUGGACUUGGGGCCACAGCUCCGAGCUGUGUCCAGAGGCCUGUGGGGACCUCACUCUCCAUCUGGGUGGAGCCGUGGCUAGAGGAGACGUGGAACUCAGGCCCACACCUGGCCAGGAAAGAGCUUGUUGCCUAAAGACAGGAGGUGUCUAAGUUGGGGGCACAAGACUUCACAGGAAGGAGGAAGUCUGCUUGGCGGGGCAUCCUGGAAGGCUUCCUAGAGGAGGUGUGAUUGGGGCUGGGCCCACAGGGAAGGUGGGAUUAGGCCCUGGGCUCAUGGUGGAGGCAGUGGGUCAGUGAGGAAGACAGUUCCUGGCAGAAGACACAGCUCGGGGAAGUGCGACAUAUUUUAGGCACAGUGAGGGCUCUCAGGGGCCUGCAGCUCAGAGACACGGGGACGCGGUGAAGAGAAAAUGGCGGCACAAAAACAGAACUUUAUCAGUGCUCCUCGCCUUCCUCCGAACGUGGCAAUGCUCCCAGCCUGGCAGGCCCGCCCUGGCUGUCCCCUAGCAGGAGGGGGACUUUGGAGCUGGACAGUGACCCCUCGCUCCCAUCCUGGUGGCCCGGGGCCAGCCCCCACCCCUUCCCUGGUACAUACAGCUUCAGUGUCCUCCCCCGACCUAUGGCCUUGUCAGGGGCUGAGCCAGGGGCCGAGCCCAGCCCCGGCCUCCCCCGCCGUGUCUCCAUAAAUGGGAGAUUUGUAUGAGCUGCGCCACCGUCAGCUUUACUGGAUGGCGCCCUGGAGCAGCUCCUUCUCUGGAGAACUGAGCGCUCUGUCCUGUCAAUUCCCCAGGGCCAUGUCAGCCCCAGGCCUGUCACCUCCCCCCUGGGGCCUGGGGGAAGCAGGACGCAGGACGGCGGGCUGUGCCAGGCCGGCCGAGGGCUCCC